GACGUAGGGUGCAAGCGUUGUCCGGAUUUAUUGGGCGUAAAGAGCUCGUAGGCGGUUCGUUGUCGUCAGCUGUGAAAACCCACGGCUUAACCGUGGGCCUGCAGCUGAUACGGGCGGACUAGAGUUCGGUAGGGGAGACUGGAAUUCCUGGUGUAGCGGUGAAAUGCGCAGAUAUCAGGAGGAACACCGGUGGCGAAGGCGGGUCUCUGGGCCGAUACUGACGCUGAGGAGCGAAAGCGUGGGGAGCGAACAGG
rnacentral:rRNA from 1 species